CAUAUUGCCGAAGACAGCAGGUGCCGCAAGGCGUAACGUAUAUGACCUGCCGAGGGAAUCUUAACGACGGUUUACCGUCAUAAGAAUGAUUUAUCAACCUCUCUGUCUGCGGGCAGAGAGGUUUUUUAAUG
rnacentral:sRNA from 1 species